UCAAGUGUCGAUGAGCCUGCCCUAAGGUUGAGGAACCAGAUUCUGGAAUCUAGUGCUGCAAUUAUUUCCUUCUUAGUAGAAAUGUCUGAUCAUACAGUGUUUUACCUCCACAGGCUAAGACUAGACUUGAAGAUCAGCCCUAAUUCAUCCAGGCUGGGAAGGCAGCAGAUGAGGGGUGUGUGUAUGGGUGUGUGUGUUUGUGUGAGUAGGGGUUGAAAGUGUAGAGUGCGGGGAAUUUGUAUUCUUGUUUUAGAUGGAAGGCACAGAUCCAUGAAACCAUUGGCCUCUAGGAGGCACUGUGGGCCCAUGGUAAGCAGGGUGUGAUGGAGGGGGUUGAGAGGCACCCUGGAGAGGGCAGCUUAGGGGAACCUUGGCUACAUGCGUGUAUCAGAAAGCAGGUUUGAGUUCCCUGAGUGGUCCAGACACAUGGACCCAGCACAGACUCCUCACUUCCCAGGGGAAUGGGGACAUGCCUGGGGCCUCAGGAUAUGCCCAGGGGAUCUUCUCCUGGAGCAGCAUGGGGAGUGGAGGGUGAAGGGAUUAGUGUGGCUGGUGAGGGCUGGGUGAUGAGUGUCAGGCAGGGACAGGAAGAGAAGAAAAAGGCACAUUAAGGGCAUAUGGGGACAUGGGGACAGUGCUCACUUCACACCCACCCUUGGCUGAGGACCUGUGCAGAACAAGGAAUGGCUUAGAUGAACCAGCCCUGGGUCCUGCCAAGGGGUCCAGUGGACAAAGGCAGCCUGCAGAGACACAGAGCAGUGACGUCAUAGGCAAAGGCUCCAAUCAGGGAAGCAGGAGGGUCAGCACUCUACACCACUCACCCCAGGAGCCCAGCCCCCAGCCAGCAGUAGUCCUGGGUUCCCGAUGCUGCCAUGGGUUCCAGGCUCCUCUGCUGUGUAACUCUCUGCCUCCUGGGAGCAGGCCUGGCGGAUUCUGAAGUCACCCAGACCCCCAAAUACCUGAUCAAAUCAAGAAAACAGCAAGUGAUACUGAGAUGUUCCCCUGAGUCUGGACACCGUUCUGUGUACUGGUACCAACGGGCCCUGGGCCAAGGCCUCCAAUUCCUCAUUCAGUAUUACAAUAGGGCAGAGAAUGACAAAGGAAACAUGUCAGAUCGAUUCUCAGGAAAACAGUUCAGUGACUCUAGCUCUGAGCUGAACUUGACUUCCUUGGAGCUGACGGAUUCAGCCGUGUAUUUCUGUGCCAGCAGCCAAGACACAGCCCUGCAUGAUCAGGUGCCUCUGGGACAAAAAUACUCCGGCCCCAACUCAGGAAGUGAUGCCUGAGUGUCAGCUGCCAGCCUGCCAAGCCCAGUCUCUGGUGGAGUGAUAGAUUUUCCCAGACAUUCACUUCUUAAUAUGUUUUAAUGCUCACUAACGUCAUCAAGGUAAGUACCAUUUUAUCUGUUUGUACAUCUCAGGGAAGUGAGUUGCCCAGAUCUCAUACUUCAUAAGUGUUUCAGCUAGCAUCCCAGCUCAAGUGUGUUCUCAACACCCGUGGUCUCUUCGCUCAUGGAUCUGUGUACACAGCAAGUUGCAUAUGCGCAUUGUGUUACGUGUAACAAGAUACAGUUCGGG